UACGAAGGGGGCUAGCGUUGCUCGGAAUCACUGGGCGUAAAGGGUGCGUAGGCGGGUCUUUAAGUCAGGGGUGAAAUCCUGGAGCUCAACUCCAGAACUGCCUUUGAUACUGAAGAUCUUGAGUCCGGGAGAGGUGAGUGGAACUGCGAGUGUAGAGGUGAAAUUCGUAGAUAUUCGCAAGAACACCAGUGGCGAAGGCGGCUCACUGGCCCGGUACUGACGCUGAGGCACGAAAGCCAGGGGAGCAAACGGG
rnacentral:rRNA from 1 species